UCUGCAUGCAGAAUAGUGUGUUUGACUACAAAGAUGUCGUAUGUAAUGCACUCCAUUUUGAAGACCAGCUAUUUCUUUGACAAAGUAGUGGAAAUAGGUUUAUUAAAAGUACAGAAUCUGAGAACAACAUCAGAAGCUUCUUUCAUAAAUCUGUUCUUACAGCUGCUUGAUCGUGUGGCUGAAGAAAAAGCUAUUCACUGUGAAGUCUGCGCAGCUUAUCAGUGGCCUUUGCCAAAGGAAGAUCCAGCUGUUUCUGCCUGCCUGCACCAGUAAAUACACUAUCCUAUGCUGAUGAAUACAUCCUGGUGCUGUAGGUUAUUCUUGUGCUCAAAAGCAAGGUGAUGUGUUGUGUAUAGGGUAUUCCUGUAACCCCAAGUUACCCUUUGACCAAGCUUUUUGAAUAAAAUUUUAGUGCACUGGGAUUUUUCUGCAGGGAGCCAUGAUGCCCAGGACUAUUAUAUUACAUUGCUUAGAUCAUAAAAAUCGCGAUAAUUUUUUAUUUUUGCCUUUUUCAUAAAAAACCUUAAAUAUCAAGCUUUGAAACAUUUUAAUGAAAGGAAAGUGUUUUAAGUAACUAAGUUUUUUGUUGUUGUUGUUGUUUCUUCUGUCUGGAAACAAUUAUUAUUUAUCUUGAUAAUGCCAAUAGUAACCCUAGGCUGAUAAAGUGUGUGCUUUAUGCCCCAUAACAAAGUUUUCAGAAUGCUCCAUAAAUAUAGCAGAGAGCCUAAGACUAUUAAUGUCACAUACAGCUGCAAGAUUAAAAUACCUGCUUGCUAGUAAUUCUUGAUUAAUGUCUUCUGUUUGUUCAAGAGGCUCUUUAACACUUUAAAAUGUCCACGAAGUAUCUGUGCAUAUGUGUACACAUAUAUCUGAGAAUGAAUGAGUCUUUCUGGGGGUUCCAUCUUUCAGUGUUUUAAUUUUUUAAAGUUACUGUUCCUCCUGGAUGAUCAGCAUUGCAUUUAUAGAAGUUACAUCAAUCAUCUGAUUAAAAGGACAAUUCUUUGGUAUUUUUCCAAUGCUACGUGUUAAACCAUUUAGUAAUAUUUUAUUUUUUAAAAAAGCUAAAAUUAACUCAGACAAUGGCAUUUUUUUAUGUGAAAGUAUUUUUAUUGGUAAUAGUUUCUCAGUGUUUUUGUAAAACAGUGAAACACACACAAAAAAAUUGUUGGAGGUAUUUUGAUUUCAUCACUGGUGUUAUUAACCUUUUGGACCUUGGGUUUUAUGCCUUCUGACCAAAAGGCAUAUGUACCUCUUGGACCAGAAACCCUUUCAUUUUUAUUUGAACCAGAGAAUGGCCAGAUCUGUUUGAGCAGGCUUGUGCUCUCCCAGUGCUGAUUCUAUAAAAAUAAAUCUUGUGUUACCU
rnacentral:lncRNA from 1 species